UGUCGUAAAAGUUCGUUCUUUUGGUAUGAUGGCCGCCGCCAAGGCAGGAGUUGGGGGAUUCUGUCAUUCCGGACGGCUUGGGGGGCUCUCUGUACCGUCAGAAGGCCACCGACAGCCCCCAGGACUGAACACCUUCUCAACUGAACUUAAAGGAGAGAUAAGUACAAUGUUUUGAGCUAUGUUUAAAUGAAGAUGAGCUAGAAGAAGACAGAACUGUUAAAAAUACGUAAGUUUUAUUAUGUAGCCAAAUGAAGGAUUCGGCUCUCUUUUAACGGUAUUCUUAAAAAUUCCUAGCUUCUAGGAAAUUCCCUAGUUAUGGAAUUUUCUUUCAUUAUAUUGAACUACUCCUGAUUUCAUCAUGAAAAUCUGAUCUGAAACUCAAUUUAUGGAAAUAUUGAAAAUGAAUUUGAAAUUAAAUGAGACCAUCUGUAUACUAAUAUGAUGCAAUAUUGUUGAUUCACAUUUUUCCAUAUUAAAGACUGUUCUGAACUCUAAAUCUUUUAAAUAAAUGAG
rnacentral:lncRNA from 1 species